UAUGAGUACCUUUUACUGUCAUUUUCCAUACCUCAUUUUACUCAGACUUUCUUUAACAAACUGUUACUUAUCUGAGCUCUCGUGUUUUCCAGAUCUGGUCUUUGAAUGAGUCACCUCUCUUCGCCACUGUUCUCAUUGCCAGAUGGAGGUCAUCCUAAGAGCUACCUCACUGGAGUGUUGUAGAAAGGAUCACACAAAAUAACAUACAUGGGACACAAGAAGCCUCACAAGUGCUCAUUUAUAGCAGAUCAGGAAGAACCCCAGGGAACUGUCUGAGCCACCACUUCCUCCUAGAAACCAGCCCCAGCCCUGCCCUCCUCACUCUGCUCUGCUAACAGGAACCUCACUUUCUCACCUUCUCCCUGGGGAGCCAACCUGGCGUGUGGGAUGUCAGUACUGGAAGCAGUCAUCUUCUCCCUCUGGGCUUUUUGCCUUGGACAGUUAAAGCUGGAGCAACCUGAAAUAUCAAUUUCCAGGUCAAGAGAUAAGAGUGCCCAUAUAUUUUGUAAGGUGUCUUCUAGCACCUUUAGCACAGACUACUACAUACAUUGGUGCCAGCAAAAACCAGAUGAAGGUAUAGAACAUUUAAUAUACAUUGACCCAACAAUGUCUGUUAAUCGAAAGAACAACAAAUUUGAGGCAAGUAAAAAUCCUCAAACUUCUACUUCCACCUUGAAAAUAAAUUUCUUAGAGAAACAAGAUGAGGCCGUGUACUUCUGUGCCUGCUGGACUGACACCCACGAUAGAGUUGCCAAGAUUCCCUCACAAGAACCAUCUUCAGUCUGUGCCCACACACAUCCUUCUCAACAUGGGCAACCACAGAGGCUGCACAGCUGGGCACCCAGCCUGGGCCUCCCUCCACACAGAACUUGACUAUUAUUUUGACUGCAGAGAUUACUUAUAACAUAAGUGGUAUGGCUUAGACUCAAAAAGGAAAUCAUCAAAUUCUAGGAACAAUGUCUGUGAUAUUAUACCUA